AGGACGAACGCUGGCGGCGUGCUUAACACAUGCAAGUCGAACGGUAAGGCCUUUCGGGGUACACGAGUGGCGAACGGGUGAGUAACACGUGGGUGAUCUGCCCUGCACUUUGGGAUAAGCCUGGGAAACUGGGUCUAAUACCGAAUAUGACUAUGGGAUGCAUGUCCUGUGGUGGAAAGCUUUUGCGGUGUGGGAUGGGCCCGCGGCCUAUCAGCUUGUUGGUGGGUGAUGGUCUACCAAGGCGACGACGGGUA
rnacentral:rRNA from 1 species